rnacentral:rRNA from 1 species
UGCCUACGGGACGCAGCAGUAGGGAAUCUUCCACAAUGGGCGAAAGCCUGAUGGAGCAACGCCGCGUGGGUGAAGAAGGUCUUCGGAUCGUAAAACCCUGUUGUUAGAGAAGAAAGUGCGUGAGAGUAACUGUUCACAUUUCGACGGUAUCUAACCAGAAAGCCACGGCUAACUACGUGCCAGCAGCCGCGGUAAUACGUAGGUGGCAAGCGUUAUCCGGAUUUAUUGGGCGUAAAGGGAACGCAGGCGGGCUUUUAAGUCUGAUGGGAAAGCCUGCGGCUUAACCGGAGAAGUGCAUUGGAAAG